rnacentral:rRNA from 1 species
AACGAACGCUGGCGGCAUGCCUAACACAUGCAAGUCGAACGAACCCUUCGGGGUGAGUGGCGCACGGGUGCGUAACACGUGGGAACCUGCCCUUAGGUUCGGAAUAACACAGAGAAAUUUGUGCUAAUACCGGAUAAUGUCUUCGGACCAAAGAUUUAUCGCCUUUGGAUGGGCCCACGUAGGAUUAGCUAGUUGGUGAGGUAAAGGCUCACCAAGGCGACGAUCCUUAGCUGGUCUUAGAGGAUGAUCAGCCACACUGGGACUGAGACACGGCCCAGACUCCUACGGGAGGCAGCAGUGGGGAAUGUUGGACAAUGGGCGAAAGCCUGAUCCAGCAAUGCCGCGUGAGUGAUGAAGGCCUUAGGGUUGUAAAGCUCUUUUACUGGGGAUGAUAAUGACAGUACCCAGAGAAUAAGCCCCGGCUAACUCCGUGCCAGCCGCCGCAGUAAGAC